AUGUCGGUGGUAAAAGAACUUAAGUUGUCAUAUGUACUUUUAUUACGCCGAAAACCAUAUUGAGAUGAAGAAAGCAGGCAGUUACUUUCAACGAACCACUCCAGGCGGUUUUUGACUAAAUGUUCAAUUAUUUUUAGAAGAACAGACGAGAGGGCUAUUGGACGAUAUGAAGAUGAGAGGGAAGGAUCUUUGUUUGGUUUCAAAAUGGGUAACACUAGUUGACAUUUCCACUCUGAUGGAAUAUUGCCAGAUUCAAAAAUUGAGUUAAUGAUUCUAAGAUAAACUGAUAAACUGUUUUCGUUUAGAUGAGAAAUAAAUGAAUAAUAAAUACCAUCAGGCCCAGGAGAGGAAUCCGAUACAUACGAAAGUACAUUUUUUAAUUCGGCCAUGGUAAAGGAGGAAUUUAAUUCUGAAGACUCUUCAUUUUCAUCUAUUGUACUAUUGUUAUGAAAUAGGUUAGGAAGAUUGACUGUAGGAGGAGCAAGCUUGUCAAGAAAAUCAUUUGCAAUAGAACUAGGAAGAGAAACAGAAUGAGAAGUAUUGUAUGCAGAUUUGAACCUCCUAAUAUUUUGCCAAACAACAGUUGGAGGAGAAUUCGGGGACAGAGAGGAGCAAAAUUUUUGCCAACUUUCAGAUUUUUUCUUUUUGAAAACCUUCUUUCUCCUUUUUACAGCUUCCGUACACUCUUUAUCCCACCACGGUGGGCUGGGAAUGGAAGAUGAUUCAUUUUUUAUUGGAAAAACUUCAUUAGCACUUUCUAUCAAGACAUCUGUAAAAACGAGAGCAUCAAUAGAGUCAUCUUCAUUUGGAAAUAUCUGUGACAGUUUUACAUCAACUUUACUACUGAAUUUCUUCCAACAUUUAUCGGUGACAUUAUUAAGGUUAUACCUGGGAAAUAAUCUGACAUUUUGAAUAGGAGCCUGAGAAUUAUCAAAAGGAGAGGUAGUUAAUAUGGGGAAGUGAUCGCUUCCAAAAGUGGAUGAUAGAACCGAAGAUGUUAAUUGUGUUACAAACUGUGAGGAGCAAAUAGUCAAAUCAACAACGCUUUUGCCUUCUGUUGGACUAGUGCGCCUUGUGGGCUCACCAGAAUUUAUAACACAUAGAUUAUUCAGAUCUAAAACACUUAGCAGCUUGUUACCAUAACUAUUAGUAAUGGAGCUUCCCCAUGACUGGUGAUGACAAUUAAAGUCACCUGUUAUAAUUAAAGGUCUUGGUAAAGAGCUUAAAAUGUUAUUAAAUUCAUUUAAAAUAUUAAUAGAGGCAUGGGAAAUAUAUACAGAGACAAAACAUAUAUUAUUUACACUAAUUGCUAUAAUAGAUAGCUCUGAACUAUGUACAGGGAUAUCAAUAAGGCUAAAAGGGUAGUUUUUCUCAAGGAGAAAGGCUACACCACCAUAGCCGUCUAACCUAUCUUCUCUAAUUGUAUUAUAAUUCUUAAAUCUAAAAGUAUUACUUGGCCUAAGCCAAGUUUCUGAGAAAGAAAAUAAAAAAGGAUUAUAAUUUCUUAAUAAAUAAGCUAUGUCACUUUUUUUAUUAACUACACUUCGAGCGUUCCACUGAAUGAUCUGGGCCAUAUUGUAGAAUAUUAAUUAUACAUUGAAUUAAAGGGGCAACGAUGGACGGUAUAUUAUCGUUCUGUGAGUGGGUUUGUAAUAAUGAUAUUACAUCUGUAAGUGAAGAAAGUUCAUUCUUGUAAUUGUUUAUUAUACCUUUAUUGUAUUCAUGUA